GCCCAAAGAAGUGACUGCCCAACACUCGCAACGUUUCAUAUUUCUCCUCUGCGCCUCGGUUGUACCAUUUGAAAGGCCGAGGCUCGACUCUGAGCUUGCCAUCUUUCUGUCCAUAGAGUCCUGCUUCUGGGCCUGCUGACAGUCGGCUAUUGAUGGUGGGACCAGAAGAGGAACUGAAAGACAGAAGCAGCAGCAGCAGCCUUGGGACCAGUGAGAGCUCGGUUGGAGUGAUAGCUCCUUCUGUUGAUGACUGAACCUCCAGUACUUCAGAUGGACCAACAGUUGGGGACAAUGACCUGCUUUUCUCAGGCAUAAGGUUUACGAAGGAAGAGGGAGAUGGAGGGAGAGGACGUCUUGGAGCCAGCGAUCCACCUGCAGUAGCUUACGACUCUGACUGCACAGCAGGAGGAGACAGUGAUGGUGCUGAACCUCACACCUAACAUUCAGAUUGAAAACAAAACAGAAAACAAACAAGAGCAGUGGACAGCCUUUGCUUCUAACCUGCUUCAAAGAGCCCUGGCUGCCAGUGACCCUGUCAACAGUUCCCUACCAUUUCUUUCACUUUUAUAGGGUACGGUGGAUUCCAGGUAUUCGCGGGGGAAGUGAACUGGUGGGGUCCCAGGCAGCCCCCACACAAUGCCAUGGCAGCAGCAUGGCUUUCACUGGGCCUCGCGCUGCUGCCUUUACGAGAGCCAGCCAGACGGAUCCCCUUCACGCCGUAAAGCCAUCAAUAAGGGGAACAAAGAGGGCAGGUGCUGAGGACUGCAUUGAGUGCUCACCUGCACCCAGCAGGGGAAUAUAGUGCGUCCAGCCAUGCCAAGAGACCCUCCACAUUCACAUCCCCACUCACCAGGCACUAAUGGGCUAAGAUGGCAAGCCAAAGAGAAAUUAUUUCUCUUUAUUAUAGACUGAAGCAAAUCAUCAGCUGAUGGUGUUGAAUAUGACAGUACAUUUACCUUAUGCACUGUUUAGUUCAACCAAACUUUGGCUUCUGCAAUAUCUGAAGCAGGCUGAGACAGAAUGUUGUUAACUGGGUAUUUAUCAACAUUUAAUUGGUAACAGAAAUGAGUAUGAGGGAGCUGACUCUUGGAUCUGCUUUUCAGAUUUUUAUGUACUGAAUUGAAUUUUAAAUAGGAAGAUUUGUUACUGGCUUGCUGAAGUCCUUAUACCCCUGCAGUAUUUUACAUUUGAUCACAUUUCGACCUCAAAGAAUGUAUUUGAUUGGAAUCUUGUGUCCAGGCCAGCACAAGGAAGCACAAAGUUGCAAAGUGGAAGGAAAAUAUUUUUUUUCUAUUGUAGACUUUUAUUUCAAAGACUGCAUUUUUUCUUGUAUUCUGUUUGUUGUGUAUUGAUUUCGAUUUUUAUUUUAGUGUUACUCUUUAGUCUUUAUUUCAGUAGCUCUUCUUGUGACCUGUGUUUCCAUUAACCAAAUAAAUGUGAAAUUUUCUUAAUGGAAAUAUGUCAAUUUAGAAAAAACUUAGUUUUUUCAAUAGAAAGUUUUUGCACUAGGAGGAGAUGCU